UGGGGAAUAUUGCACAAUGGGGGAAACCCUGAUGCAGCGACGCCGCGUGAGCGAAGAAGGUUUUCGAAUCGUAAAGCUCUGUCCUAUGGGAAGAUAAUGACGGUACCAUAGGAGGAAGCCCCGGCUAACUACGUGCCAGCAGCCGCGGUAAUACGUAGGGGGCAAGCGUUGUCCGGAAUCACUGGGCGUAAAGGGUUCGCAGGCGGAAAUGCAAGUCAGUUGUGAAAGGCAGAGGCUCAACCUCUGUAAGCAAUUGAAACUGUAUUUCUUGAGAUGUGGAGAGGCAAGUGGAAUUCCUAGUGUAGCGGUGAAAUGCGUAGAUAUUAGGAAGAAUACCGGUGUCGAAGGCGACUUGCUGGACACAAACUGACGCUGAGGAACGAAAGCGUUGGUAGCAAACAGG
rnacentral:rRNA from 1 species